rnacentral:misc_RNA from 1 species
AACGCACAUUGCGCCCUGUGGUAUUCCGCAGGGCAUGCCUGUUCGAGCGUCAGCACAACCCUCAAGCUCAGCUUGGUCUUGAGCCCCGCCGGCAACGGCAGGCUUUAAAAUUAGUGGCGGUGCCUCUAGGCUCUCAGCGUAGUAAUACUCCUCGCUCGUGGGUUCUAGGGCUGCUGGCCAGCAACCCCAACUUUCUUAGUUUGACCUCGGAUCAGGUAGGGAUACCCGCUGAACUUAA